GGGUCAGUGACCUUCUCUUGCGCAAUUUUUGGCGUGUGUAGCUGCGAUGAUGAUGUCAUCUGUUAAAAACCGGCAUUGGUAGCUACAACAUACAUCUGUUGCAAUAUGCGAACAUUAUGUUUCGCAGACGAGCCUUUUGAUUAUACGUCAUUCUUAGCCUCCAUCUUUGAAUUUUGAGGUAGAGAAAUAAAGAAGAGAGAGUUGAUGUUCAUAAC